CAGUAGCCGCGGGAAUACGAAGGGGGCUAGCGUUGUUCGGAAUCACUGGGCGUAAAGGGCGCGUAGGCGGCCAUUCAAGUUAGAUGUGAAAGCCCUGGGCUCAACCUAGGAAUUGCAUUUGAUACUGUUUGGCUUGAGUUCGGGAGAGGUGAGUGGAAUUCCCAGUGUAGAGGUGAAAUUCGUAGAUAUUGGGAAGAACACCAGUGGCGAAGGCGGCUCACUGGACCGACACUGACGCUGAGGCGCGAAAGCGUGGGGAGCAAACAGGAUUAGAUACCCGAGUAGUCCCUGUCUCUUAUAC
rnacentral:rRNA from 1 species